AUUGAACGCUGGCGGCAGGCCUAACACAUGCAAGUCGAGCGAGCGGCGGACGGGGGAGUAAUGUCUGGGAAACUGCCUGAUGGAGGGGGAUAACUACUGGAAACGGGAGCUAAUACCGCAUACCAUCAGAGGUGCCCAGAUGGGAUUAGCUAGUAGGUUGGGUAAGGGCUCACCUAGGCGACGAUCCCUAGCUGGUCUGAGAGGAGGACCAGCCACACUGGAACUGAGACCCGGUCCCGACUCCUACGCGAGGCAGCAGUGGGGAAUAUUGCACAAUGGGCGCAAGCCGUAUGCAGCCAUGCCGCGUGUGUGAAGAAGGCCUUCGGGUUGUAAAGCACUUUCAGCGGGGAGGCGUUACUCGCAGAAGAAGCACCGGCUAACUCCGUGCCAGCCGCCGCGGUAAUAC
rnacentral:rRNA from 1 species